rnacentral:rRNA from 1 species
UACGAAGGGGGCUAGCGUUGUUCGGAAUUACUGGGCGUAAAGCGCAUGUAGGCGGAUAUUUAAGUCAGGGGUGAAAUCCCAGAGCUCAACUCUGGAACUGCCUUUGAUACUGGGUAUCUUGAGUAUGGAAGAGGUGAGUGGAAUUCCGAGUGUAGAGGUGAAAUUCGUAGAUAUUCGGAGGAACACCAGUGGCGAAGGCGGCUCACUGGUCCAUUACUGACGCUCAGGUGCGAAAGCGUGGGGAGCAAACAGG